rnacentral:tRNA from 1 species
GAAGGUAUAGCUCAAGUGGUAGAAUGCAUGCUUAGCAUGCACAAGGUCCUAGGUUCAAUUCCCAGUACCUCCU